UACAGAGGUCUCGAGCGUUAGGCGGAAUCACUGGGCUUAAAGCGUGUGUAGGUGGAUCGUUAAGUACCUUGUGAAAUCCCACGGCUUAACCGUGGAACUGCUUGGUAUACUGGCGGUCUUGAGCCAGCUAGGGGCUACCGGAACAAAUGGUGGAGCGGUGAAAUGCGUAGAUAUCUGGAGGAACACCGGUGGCGAAGGCGGCGUUCUGGACUGCAACUGACACUGAUGAACGAAAGCCAGGGGAGCAAACGGG
rnacentral:rRNA from 1 species